rnacentral:rRNA from 1 species
GACGAACGCUGGCGGCGUGCUUAACACAUGCAAGUCGAACGGAAAGGCCCUGCUUUUGUGGGGUGCUCGAGUGGCGAACGGGUGAGUAACACGUGAGUAACCUGCCCUUGACUUUGGGAUAACUUCAGGAAACUGGUGCUAAUACCGGAUAGGAGCUCCUGCUGCAUGGUGGGGGUUGGAACGUUUCGGCGGUUGGGGAUGGACUCGCGGCUUAUCAGCUUGUUGGUGGGGGAGUGGCUUACCAAGGCUUUGACGGGUAGCCGGCCUGAGAGGGUGACCAGCCACAUUGGGACUGAGAUACGGCCCAGACUCCUACGGGAGGCAGCAGUGGGGAAUAUGGCACAAUGGGCGGACGCCUGAUGCAGAAACGCCGCGUGCGGGAUGACGGCCUUCGGGUUGUAAACCGCUUUCGGCUGUGACGAAGCGUGAGUGACGGUAAUGGGUAAAGAAGCACCGGCUAACUACGUG